rnacentral:rRNA from 1 species
UACAGGGGGGGCAAGCGUUGUUCGGAAUUACUGGGCGUAAAGGGCCAGUAGGCGGCCAACUAAGUCCGACGUGAAAUCCCCAGGCUUAACCUGGGAACUGCGUCGGAUACUGGAUGGCUUGAAUUCGGGAGAGGGAUGCAGAAUUCCAGGUGUAGCGGUGAAAUGCGUGGAUAUCUGGAGGAAUACCGGUGGCGAAGGCGGGUCUCUGGGCCGAUACUGACGCUGAGGAGCGAAAGCGUGGGGAGCGAACAGG